UUAUUACAGGAUAUUGAAUAUAGUUCACUUUGCUGUACAAUAGGUUCUUAUUUAUUAUCUUUCUUUUUUUUUUUUUUUUUUCCCAUGACAUGUGGGAGUUCCUGGGCCAGGGAUGGAACCCACACCACAGUAGCAGCCUGCACCACAUGCACCACAGGUGAGGUAACACUGGAUCCUUACCCUGCUGUGCCACAAGGGAACUUUCUUUUUUUUUUUUUUUUUUUUUCCUUUUUACAGCUGUACCUGUGGCACAUGGAAGUCCCUGGGGCUAGGGGUCGAAGUGACCUGAGCCAUAGCCACAGCAACACUGGAUCUAAGCCACAUUUGUGACCUCUACUGCAGUUUGUGGCAACACUGCAUCUAUAACCAACUGAGUGAGGCCAGGGAUCAAACCUGAAUCCCCGUGGAGACAGUAUCAGUUCCUUAUCCUACUGAGCCACAACAGAAACUCCCAAGGGAACCUCCUUGAUUAUCUGUUUUGUAAUAGUAGUGUGUAUAUGUUAAUCCCAGACUCCUACUUUAUCCCUCCCUACUACCUUUCCUCUUUGAUAACCAUUAAGUCUGUUUUCUGUAAGUUUGAGUCUUUUCCUAUUUGGUAAAUAAGUUCAUUUGUAUCAUAUUUUAGAUUCUACAUAUAAGUGAUAUUGUAUGAUAUUUUGCCUAAGUCUAAAUUAUUUCAUUUAAUAUGAUGAUCUAUAGGUCCAUCCAUGUUGCUGCAAAUGGCAUUAUUUCAUUCUUUCUCAUGGCUGAGCAGUAUUCCAUUGUGCGUACAUACUACAUCUUUUUUUUUUUAAUCACAUUUUUAUCCAUUCCUUUGUCAAUAGACAUUUAGGUUGCUUCCAUGUCUUGGCUGUUGUAAAUUGUGCUGCAAUGAACAUUAGGGUGCAUGAAUCUUUUUGAGUUAUAGUUUUCUCUGAGUAUAUGCCCAGGAGUGAGAUUGCUGGAUCAUAUGGCAACUCUAUUUUUAAUUUUUAGAGAGCCUCCAUAUUGUUCUUUAUAAUAGUUGUACCAAUUUACAUUCCUACGAACGGUGUAGGAGGAUUUUUCUUUUCUCCACACCCUCUCAAGCAUUUGUUAUUUGAAGACUUUUUGAUGAUGGCCUUUCUCACUGGUAUGAGGUGAUAUUUCAUUAUAGUUUUGACUUGCAUUUCUCUAAUAAUUAGUGAUAUGGAGCAUCUCUGCAUGUGUGUAUUAUCCAUCUAGCAUUAUAAGAUCUUAAUGAAGCUACAGGCAACAUAAUCCCUACCCCCAGCCCCGGGAAAUGAGGCGAAGCCAGUUGGUACAGCAAUGUCAAAGAGGCAUCUUUGAGCCUUAUUCACCCACUGCUCCCACAAAAGUGCUCAUCAAUGACCUGCUUCCCCUCCAUCUCAUCCCCAGUGAGGUUCAAGCAGCUGAGUGAGUGAUACAGGUGGGUGAAAUGUGUGCAGUAGCCUUAGUGCUCUCCUACUGGGCACCAAAGUCCGGGUGAGGUGAGAGGUUAGUCUCCUUUCUUUCCUCUUGCUUCCUCCAAUAGGAGGAUGCCAGAGAGUGAGGGGGGCAAAGAAAAAUCUGGCAGAGCUAGGAGGGGAAGGAGGACAUUCUAGGGUUGGGCAAAAAAUCUUUGCAUGCCACCAAGUGGCACUUGGUCCUCUCCAGCUCCAUUUGAGAACUGGGUUCAAAAGCCAUGGAAAUGAAUAUUGCUUCCUGACCUUGUCCAGAUCACCUGACUGCCCACCCUGGAUAACCAUGCCAUAGUAGCACUGAAGUAGCUCAGGGACAAGAACAUUUUAGUGAAAACUACCACUGUUUUUGUAUUCUAGCAAACCUAGCCAAUGUCCAGUGGACACAGAUCUGGUGGGCCUUGGCUACCAGCAUUCAUUAUAUGUUGCUAUAGUUAUGGCUGGGAGGGCCAGGGCAAGGCCUAGGGGAAAGAUCUGUUGUGCUUGGAGAGCAACCUGUCUGGGAAACCCAUCUGAACUCAACCUUGCGGACUCCUGCCAGCUGGGCAUCUUCUUAGACAGGAAGUCCUCCAUAAUAUCUUGGUUGAUAACUUCAUGCAGAACAAAGAGAUCACCUCUCUCUCCCUUAGUGGUCGGAGUGUUCAUGGUACAGCCACACAGAACCUGGAAGAAAAUGAGAUGAGAGUGAGGGGAAGUUUGAUGGAUGCUUAAGUUGGAAAGAAUGAAAAGGUGGAAAGAAUGAAGAAGGAGGUGGGAUGAAAUGGGAAUGUUCGCUUCCACCUUAUUCCUGGGUCUCAUCCUGCCUUUUCCUGCCCUCCUCCCCACCCACCCUCAACCUGAUCCAGACCAUGAGGCAUUGUGCCUGACCAGGUCAAUGCAUAGCCCUUGGAUGCCAUCCCAGCAGAGGUAUGAAUGGCUUUAUAUGGGAGUAUGUCAUGGGGUCCUCUUAGCAGAUGUGGGCCCUGCCUUCUGUGCUAAGGGUUCAAUGGUCCUAACCUCACCUUGAAUCCCCACACAGCCUGAAGUGAGAGAGUUUAGAGGCACGCAAUGCUUCCUCACCCUCAUCCCUAUCUGUGCUAUCUGGGAGACAGGGCCUGGAAGGGCUGAGUAGAGCAACGCCUUUCAAAGACUUCAAUGAGGGUGAGGCCACAAGGGACAAGGCAAGGGAGGAUGUGAGGGUCCCCCGUGAAUGUGUGAUGAAAAAAGCCACUAUAGCCACCUUUUGUAGUAAUACUGUCCUUUACUCCUAGAGGGCUGGGGAGGUUAUGGGAAGUGUGGCUCACCUGGCUCCCCAGACUGCCAACCUGCCCUUGCUUCUGGAUUAUGAUCCUAGAAGAAGCAGACUUUGGCUACUGUUCAGUGGGACAGGCUUAGAGAGCAAGCAAAGCCUUGAGUCUGGGAAGAUUAAUUUCUGAUUUUGUUUAUCUGUUGAACAAUACUGCAUAUCCAUCACUGUAUUUGUGUUUUUCACCUCAAGUGCAGAGUUUCUCAGUGACCCACUAGGCAUAAAAGGCAGGACUAGAGACAUGGGGGAUGAGCCUCCCAUGCCAGUGAUCUCUUUUAUGUACUUGGGAAUCAAGGUCUCAUUGCAGGAGAGUUUGUGGCUUGAAAGAGCUCAGAGACUAGCCCUUGCUAUAUAGAAAGUCAUUUCUAGAUUCUGUAUCUUUGGGUAUCUCUGUGCACACUCAGGUGAUGAAACAGACAGGAUUUCUGUACUGAAGGGACUAGCAUGAGAAAGUCCCAAAUGGAGAGGAGGAACCGUCUAGAAGAGAUGUCCAGGUCUUGCUCUGUUUUACCACUCUUUCCCUCCUCAUCCCUAACUCUGGUCCACAUGAGAACACAUGAUAGCAGUGAAGCUCAGUGGUUGAAUAAUGGCAGGAGAAUGAGGGCAGUGAUACUAGAGAAUAUUUUUAAGUUCUUUGUGUCUACUCCCAGGGUUCACAGAUGGUAUGACCCAGGUGCUGUCAUUCAUUAGAUCAGAGUUUUACAAAGAGUUGCUCCUUAGCAGGUGUCACUGAUAUUAAACAUGAGGGGAGAAGUCCCCAUCAUGGCUCAGUGGAUUACAAAUCUGACUAGUACCCAUGAGGAUGCGGGUUCAAUCCCUGGCCUUGCUCAGUGGGUUAAGGAUCCGGCAUUGCCGUGAGCUGUGGUUUAGGUUGCAGACACAGCUUGGAUACCACAGCCAAUGAAAGAAGAAAAAAAGAAAACUUUAGAUAUCUCAAGAUAAAGAGUUCAGCAAAACAGCUGCCCAGAGUUGCUCAAAUCUUAGGGCUUGGAACUUUUUGCACAUGGCAGAUUAUAUUUCCCCAAAAUGGCCAUAGCAAUAUUUUAAGUCCUACAUUCUCUUCCAGAGCUUUGCUAGCUUCUUUUAAAAGUUGAAAUCUGUUUACCAUUCCCUUAAAGUUGGGUGGGCUUUGUGGCUGUCUCAAUGAAUAGAACACAGCAGACAGGAGUGUAUUACUUUCUUAGGGUUGCCAUAAGAAGGGUAGCUUAAGCAACAGAAAUUUAUUCUCUUACAGUUCUCAGGCCGAAAGUCCAAAAUCAAGAUGUCAACAAGGUUGAUUAUUUUGGAGACUUCUGAGGAAAAAUAUGUUUCCUGUCUCUUUUCUAGUUUGUGGUAUUUGCCAGAAAUCCCUGGCUUUCCUUGGUUGGUAGAUGCAUCAUUCCAGUCUUCACUUUUAUUGUCACAUGGCAUUUUUCCUUAUGUCUCCUGUAUCCAAAAUUCCCUCUUCUAAGGACACAGUCAUUGGAGUUCCUGUUGUAGUGCAGCAGAAACUAAUCUGUCUAGGAACCAUGAGGUUGUGGGUUCGAUCCCUAGCCUCGCUCAGUGGGUUCAGGAUCUGGAGUUGCUGUGAACUGUGGUGUAGGUCACAGAUGCAGCUCAGAUCUGAUGUUGUUGUGGCUGUGGCAUAGGCUGGAUUGGACCCAAAGCCUAGGAACUUUCAUAUGCAGCAAGUGUGGCCCUGAAAAGCGAAAAAAAAAAAAAAAAAAGACACAGUCAUUGGAUUAGGGCCAGACUAGACCAGUAUGACCUAUUUUAAUUUGAUUACACCUGCAAAGACCCAGUUUCCAAAUAAGGCCAUAUUCACAGGAAUUGGGGGUUAGAACUUGAAUAUGCCUUUUGAGAGGAUAGAUAUAGCUGAGCUUGGAUACAACAGUGAGGUUAAGUGAUUUAUAAGGUUAAGUCAUAAGAGGCAAUCCAACUUCUGUCUUAAUCUUUUUCUUUAAGGCUACUCACCUUUAGAACCCAGCCACCACUUUGUGAGGAAAUCCAGGACCAGUAAAGAGAUCAUAUAUAGGUGUUAUGGAUGACAGUCUCAGCUAAGGUUCCAACCCACAGCUAGUGUUAUUCACCAGUCAUGUAAAUGAUAAAGUCUUCAGAUGACUCCCAGCCCAGCCUUUGAGCUGCAGUAGCUGAUGCUGAAAUGAACUAUCUCCAUUGAUAGCUGUCCAAAUUGCAGAUUUGUGAGCAAAAUAAAUGUAGUUAUAAUCCACCAUGUUUUAGGAUAGUUUGUUACACAGCAUUUUGUUUACUAGAACACUACCCAAUGUUCAGUGCCAUAUAUGAGACAUUUGGAGUCUUGUGUGGUAGGAGAACCCUCUGUAAUGAGAAUGCAGCCUUGGGAUCUGGCUGUGGGUUUCUUUGGGGUUCCACCAUCCUUCUCUUAGGAACUGUUGAAUCAGGUUGACUAAAUAUAUAGCUGUUACUUGCUUUAGCCUGGCUUAAGUAAAGAUACAGCCACUUGCUUAAACUUUUUCAUUACUCCUGCCUUUGCUGGUGAGGCAUCUCUCUCACUCUCUGGAGUUCCCACUGGUGGUAUGAAAGUGUAGCUCUGCUUUUGCACAGCGAAGGAA
rnacentral:lncRNA from 1 species